UCGAACGAAGCUUUCUUUCACCGAAUGCUUGCAUUCACCGAAAGAAGCUUAGUGGCGAACGGGUGAGUAACACGUAGGCAACCUGCCCAAAAGAGGGGGAUAACACUUGGAAACAGGUGCUAAUACCGCAUAACCAUGAACACCGCAUGAUGUUCAUGUAAAAGACGGCUUUUGCUGUCACUUUUGGAUGGGCCUGCGGCGUAUUAACUUGUUGGUGGGGUAACGGCCUACCAAGGUGAUGAUACGUAGCCGAACUGAGAGGUUGAUCGGCCACAUUGGGACUGAGACACGGCCCAAACUCCUACGGGAGGCAGCAGUAGGGAAUCUUCCACAAUGGACGAAAGUCUGAUGGAGCAACGCCGCGUGAAUGAAGAAGGCCUUCGGGUCGUAAAAUUCUGUUGUCAGAGAAGAACGUGCGUGAGAGUAACUGUUCACGUAUUGACGGUAUCUGACCAGAAAGCCACGGCUAACUACGUGCCAGCAGCCGCGGUAAUACGUAGGUGGCGAGCGUUGUCCGGAUUUAUUGGGCGUAAAGGGAACGCAGGCGGUCUUUUAAGUCUGAUGUGAAAGCCUUCGGCUUAACCGAAGUAGUGCAUUGGAAACUGGAAGACUUGAGUGCAGAAGAGGAGAGUGGAACUCCAUGUGUAGCGGUGAAAUGCGUAGAUAUAUGGAAGAACACCAGUGGCGAAAGCGGCUCUCUGGUCUGUAACUGACGCUGAGGUUCGAAAGCGUGGGUAGCAAACAGGAUUAGAUACCCUGGUAGUCCACGCCGUAAACGAUGAGUGCUAAGUGUUGGAGGGUUUCCGCCCUUCAGUGCUGCAGCUAACGCAUUAGCACUCCGCCUGGGGAGUACGGUC
rnacentral:rRNA from 1 species